UCAACCCCUUCACUAUGCCCAUUAUUCAACCUGUAAGGCCUCUCCUCUCCAUCAAUCUCACCACUCCCAGGAUCAUCCUCCUCAUCCUCUUCUUCAUCCUCCUCCUCAUCAGAUUCAGGCCUCUCAUUCUCCUCUGCGUCCAUUUUAUCCAAAUACUUCAACGAUUUGAUCAAUCCAAAAACCCUAGAUCGAUAAUCCUUCACUCUGGUGACCGGACACUCAUACAGAUCGAGAGAAAUGAGCUUCAACUGAGCCAGUGGCGCAAGAUCUUCAAUAUAUUGGAUGCGAUUGUUCGACAAGUCAAGGUCCCGAAGAGAGUCGAGGCCAGCCUCAACGAGGAACUCGAGCCCGCCAGCGAUGCGAUUGUCAGAGAGUAUGAGCUUCUGAAGGUUCCUAAGGCGAGGGAACUGCUCAAGCGUCGAGACUCCUAUAUUAGCGAUGGAGAGGUGCUGAAGGUUCUCGAACUUCUCUAAAAGACUCGGUGGAGGAAGACGACCCUGCACGCACUUCACCGCGCCGUCUAGGGUUAGGCUUCGAGCCGCCGCGUUGUCCGUUUGGCCGUCUAAAGCUGUCUCCACUGCCCGCUCCCAGAUCUCAUCCAUCAAAUACGAAACCCUCUCUCUCAUACACCAAAUAAAUUGCUCUACACGUAUAAAAUGAUGAAUCUUUCUCCAAUAUACCUCUCUCAAUGGAAAGAUUCAAAGCAUAAUCACAUAAAAUAAGAAAUUAAUCUGCACUCUAUGACACUAAACAGAGGAAAUUUUUCAUAGCCAAACUGCACAAGAAGCAGAAGAAAUGAAACCCGUGAAGCAGCCAAUUACCCUAACCCUAAAUUUAGGAAUCAGAACAAGGAUCAAUAGCUAUCUGUUUGAACCGUUUAAACCCUAAUUAAUUUUUCAUUUUCAGAUGUAAGGUCUCUCUCUCUUCCUUUCUCACAGUAGCAAACAUGCUUGGAAGAAAACA
rnacentral:misc_RNA from 1 species